rnacentral:rRNA from 1 species
GACGAACGCUGGCGGCGUGCCUAAUACAUGCAAGUCGAGCGGACGAAUCGAAAGCUUGCUUUUGAUUCGUUAGCGGCGGACGGGUGAGUAACACGUGGGCAACCUGCCCUGUAGACGGGGAUAACACCGAGAAAUCGGUGCUAAUACCGGAUAACACGAAAUGUCGCAUGACGUUUCGUUGAAAGACGGCGCAAGCUGCCGCUACAGGAUGGGCCCGCGGCGCAUUAGCUAGUUGGUGAGGUAACGGCUCACCAAGGCGACGAUACGUAGCCGACCUGAGAGGGCGAUCGGCCACACUGGGACUGAGACACGGCCCAGACUCCUACGGGAGGCAGCAGUAGGGAAUCUUCCGCAAUGGACGAAAGUCUGACGGAGCAACGCCGCGUGAGCGAAGAAGGCCUUCGGGUCGUAAAGCUCUGUUGUUAGGGAAGAACAAGUAACGCAGUAACUGGCGUUACCGUGACGGUACCUAACGAGAAAGCCACGGCUAACUACGUG